GGCCCCGUAGUCUAAUGGAUAGAAUUAAGGAUUCCGGUUCCUUCGGUCCGGGUUCGAAUCCCGGCGGGGUCA
rnacentral:tRNA from 1 species